rnacentral:rRNA from 1 species
UACGUAGGGUGCGAGCGUUUAAUCGGAAUUACUGGGCGUAAAGCGUGCGCAGGCGGUUCGUUGUGUCGGCGGUGAAAGCCCCGGGCUUAACCUGGGAAUGGCCGUUGAAACUGGCGAACUGGAGUGUGGCAGAGGGGGGUGGAAUUCCGCGUGUAGCAGUGAAAUGCGUAGAUAUGCGGAGGAACACCGAUGGCGAAGGCAAUCCCCUGGACCUGUACUGACGCUCAUGCACGAAAGCGUGGGGAGCAAACAGG